AGUGGAGAUAAAGUAGGAGAUUGGUAUAAAUUAUUUAAUUUAAUUUUAAUUAAAAAGCUGUGACAUGCUGUAAUGUUUCAUUAAAAUUUAUAUAUUUGAGCUCGCAAAAGGAACUUGAACCUGAUUUAUCAACUUUAUCAGCGUCAUCACCAUCUCUGCCAUCUUGCACCAACAAUUCUGAAGAAAACCUUCAAAAUUUGUCAAGGAGUGAUUUUCUUAUUUGGUGCCAAAGCCACCCUGUGCCUAAAUCAAAGCGGACCUUUUGUAUAUGGGCCCAGAAUGAAGGCAAAGACUUGCCUUAUUUUAAAUUUUAGCGUCCUGGUGGCAGAAGGGGUGGCAGAAGAGGCAGGAAAACAAACCUUAAUGUUAAUUACUAUACAUACACUUAUAUUAUAAGUGUAUCUACAU